rnacentral:rRNA from 1 species
UGCAGUCGAACGGUAACGCGGGGCAACCUGGCGACGAGUGGCGAACGGGUGAGUAAUGUAUCGGAACGUGCCCAGUAGUGGGGGAUAGCCCGGCGAAAGCCGGAUUAAUACCGCAUACGACCUACGGGUGAAAGGGGGGGAUCGCAAGACCUCUCGCUAUUGGAGCGGCCGAUAUCAGAUUAGGUAGUUGGUGGGGUAAAAGCCCACCAAGCCGACGAUCUGUAGCUGGUCUGAGAGGACGACCAGCCACACUGGGACUGAGACACGGCCCAGACUCCUACGGGAGGCAGCAGUGGGGAAUUUUGGACAAUGGGCGCAAGCCUGAUCCAGCCAUGCCGCGUGCGGGAAGAAGGCCUUCGGGUUGUAAACCGCUUUUGUCAGGGAAGAAAUCCCUUGGGUUGAUACCUCGGGGGGAUGACGGUACCUGAAGAAUAAGCACCGGCUAACUACGUGCCAGCAGCCGCGGUAAUACGUAGGGUGCAAGCGUUAAUCGGAAUUACUGGGCGUAAAGCGUGCGCAGGCGGUUGUGCAAGACAGAUGUGAAAUCCCCGGGCUCAACCUGGGAACUGCAUUUGUGACUGCACGGCUAGAGUACGGUAGAGGGGGAUGGAAUUCCGCGUGUAGCAGUGAAAUGCGUAGAUAUGCGGAGGAACACCGAUGGCGAAGGCAAUCCCCUGGACCUGUACUGACGCUCAUGCACCUCGUGCCGUGAGG